rnacentral:lncRNA from 1 species
AGGAGACAGAUGAAUUUCUCAUUCUUGUAGGCUACCAUUUCUUUUGGCUUAUUACAAAACAACAGGAUGCUGCAGCUUUAUCAAAGUCUACUUAUUUGUCCACUAAAAGUUUAUGGCUAUACGUUUCCAACUAGAACAUCUGAACACCAAUAUAUGGAAUUCUGACAAAGUUAAAACCAGGAAGAGAUCCUAUGAAGGCUGACAUUUUGUACAUCUGUUUUAUAGAACAAUAAAAAUAAGAAGAACAAGAAUAAGAACAGCAACAACAUUUGCAGCCACUGUCUAGACCACAGGAAACCUGGUCAACAACAUAUGGGAUGUCACCAGAUUCAGACUCAGAAGUUUCCAUAAUGCCGUUGCCAACAGCUAGACACAGUAUAUGAUCAAUUCUCACCAAUACCACCAAUAUCACCAAUAGAUAAUGAGGACUGGAACUCUUUAUCUCUAAAAGAUGACCUGAAACACUAUGGAAAAGGAAGAUGCAUUACAACACACUAUCAAAGCAUCAUUUUCAGAUACACUGAGUCCAUCUUCUCAUGGACAUGAUGACAUAGAUGAAGAAACGGCUAUAUAGAGAGAUAAAGAAGCUUGCUCAAGGAUACACAGCCAGAAAGCAAAAGAGUUGGAGUUUGAACUUCGACAGUCUAACUCGAGGUUCUUUCUCUGUGUUUAAUCAGUCAACCACACUGCCUCUUCAGAAGCACGCAUAAUUAGGUGAUCUCCCACCAGAGUGUACCAACAAGUGGAUCGGUCAAGAUAAAUCAUUACAGUGUGUCGAGAAACUAUUAGAACACCUAUUUAAAGGCAGUCUUAAUUUUUCUUAAGUUCUAAAAGCAUAAAUGAAUGUCAAUAUUUAUAUGUGUAAGCUGUUAAAAAUUACAACAAAUACUCUAAUGCUUAUCAACAACCCUGGUAACUAAAACAUCAGCAAUAUUUCUGAGUUUCUCUUCAAAUUCAUCUUCUCUUUUCUGCUGUUUGUCUCUUUCCCAAAGUAUACAUUGGUAAUAAAACUGAAA